GUUGGAGGAACAAACGGACGAGGA
rnacentral:piRNA from 1 species